AGUAACACGUGGAUAACCUACCUAUAAGACUGGGAUAACUUCGGGAAACCGGAGCUAAUACCGGAUAAUAUAUUGAACCGCAUGGUUCAAUAGUGAAAGACGGUCUUGCUGUCACUUAUAGAUGAAUCCGCGCCGCAUUAGCUAGUUGGUAAGGUAACGGCUUACCAAGGCAGCGAUGCGUAGCCGACCUGAGAGGGUGAUCGGCCACACUGGAACUGAGACACGGUCCAGACUCCUACGGGAGGCAGCAGCU
rnacentral:rRNA from 1 species